GAACACCGGUUCUCGUACGAUCACAGAUGUUAAGCAACGUCAAGCCUGGUCAGUAACUAGAUGGAUGACCGCUUUGAAAUACCAGGUGUUGUAA